GAGUACAUUAAAAACAAUGCAAAGUGUGCAGAGUGCUGAUUUGAAAUUUUAUUUUCGAUCUUUAAUUGUACUUCCUUUUUACACAGGAAGUAGAAAGUCAUUUGGUGGAUGGCGUUUGGACUGCAUCGUGAGUUCUCUCUCUUUAUCAGUGCUCUAUUGGAAUGAGAUCUAGGGACUGUGAAGGCAAAAGAAGUGGCACCUUCUGCUGCUGUCGCCCAUCCGCUUCAAGAAAUACCUCAUAGGAUGGAAAACGUCAUGAUCAGAGUGUCACAGGCACCAGACUUUCCUGUUGCACCUCCGUAUGAUGAAGGUCCUCUUCCGUACUCGAUGGUCCAACCUCGAGGUCAAGACAGUGCAAACGGGUCAGCGCCAGUUUUUGUUUUCAAAACCACAUGCUGCCCUAAAAAGUGGACCCAAAGUAACUGUCUGGCCUUGGCAUUUAUCUUUGUCUGUCUCUUACUCCUGGUGUUGUUCGGGUUUGUUCUUUACUCAGCUUACGUUAAGAGGUAAUUUUGUUCAAAAUGAAAACUGUUAAAAAAGAUCACCAUAUCAUGGUGCAAAAAAGCCUGACAUUGCCCUACGAACCCCAAAAGAGAGUUUGUAUAAAAGGUUAAUUUGUAUAAUUUGUAUAAUAAUAAAAACUGUGAAAAAUGUUCAUUGUAUGGCCAUACAGAGAUGGUGGGUCAUAUGGGAUGUUAGGUGUUAAUGCAUGAAAAAAGUUCACCCUAUCUGCUGUUUUUCAGUCUGCUGUUGUUCAGUGUUGUUGGGUUUAAUAAAUUUAUGCAUAGUAUUAA